AGCAGUCGCCGCGGUAAAACAGAGGAUGCAAGCGUUAUCCGGAAUGAUUGGGCGUAAAGCGUCUGUAGGUGGCUUUUCAAGUCCGCCGUCAAAUCCCAGGGCUCAACCCUGGACAGGCGGUGGAGACUACCAAGCUGGAGUACGGUAGGGGCAGAGGGAAUUUCCGGUGGAGCGGUGAAGUGCGUUGAGAUCGGAAAGAACACCAACGGCGAAAGCACUCUGCUGGGCCGACACUGACACUGAGAGACGAAAGCUAGGGGAGCAAAUGGGAUUAGAUACCCCCGUAGUCCCUGUCUCUUAUAA
rnacentral:rRNA from 1 species